UUUUUCCGAUUUUGUUAGUCAAUUUAUUGGAUCUACCGAUUUUGUUCUAGAUAUUAAACUAUCAAAUGCUGACGUUUGUGUAUCCAAUACGGACUCCGCUUUUGAAGGUGAAUCUACAGAUUCUGGUAGAAUUAGAGAAACGCCAUCAACAGAAAGUUUCACAGCUGCUCGCCAAGCAAUAUCCUGCAUUGGAGAAGAACCAUUCUUAAAUUCCUCACAAGACAUAAUUGUGCUCACCACUGUUGACAAUUUGGAUUGUCUUCCAUCAAAGCAAGAAAUUAGCGCAAUCCCUGACAUUCACCAAUUCUUAAAUGUUAAAACGUUGGAAAAUAAGGACCGCAUUAAAAUUGCAAAGGCCUUAAUUGAAUUUAUUCUAAAUAAAAACCCAAGUAGACAGUAUGUAU